GAAAUGGGCUGAGUCCCUCUUGCUCACCCUUGACUUGGAAAAACCAGUUUCUCUUUUAUUGUCUGUUACUAAUCUCUAUUCUAAAAAUUCAGCUCAAUUCUCAACCAUACUCCAAACUCUCUCUUUUCCAGCUACCUUUACUCCCUCUCCUUCAAUUCCACUUUCCUCUGCUUACUUUUUUUUUUUUUCUGACAGGGUCUCACUUUGUCGCCCGGGCAGGAGUGCAGUGGCUCAAUCUUGGGCUCACUGCAGCCUCAACCUCCCAGGUUCAAGCGAUUCUCCUGCCUCAGCCCCUCAAGUAGCUGGGACUACAAGCGCACACCACCACGCCUGACUAAUUUUUUGUAUUUUUUUGUAGAGGCGGGGUUUCACCAUGUUGCCCAGACUGGUCUUGAACUCCUGAGCUUAAGCAAUCCACCUGCCUCGGCCUCCCAAAGUGUUGGGAUCACAGGCGUGAGCCACCGCAUCCGGCCUCAUGUUCUUUUUCAUUAAAGAGAGAAAUCAACUAUUCAGGACCGGCCCCCACCUUUCCUCAGGAGUCAUUUCUGUUCCGCACAGGCCUGCUGAACUGGGUGCUUUAUAUAGGCAAACUCAAAGCUAGGUCCUGAUGUCUCAAGGCACAGGUACUCGUACUUAAAGACACUGUCAUCUCUCAAGUACCCAUCUUGGAGGGUACGGACCCCACAUGAGGGUGAGGCUCUCUGCACACUCCAGAAAAGGACCAACCACACCGAGCUCAGUUAUGGCACACACAGUGGGACCUAGACAAAGGGAGAGGGUGACCGACAUCCCAACUAGAUUUCAGUGGAGUGAAGUUCAGGAGGCAUGGAGCUGACAACCAUGAGGCCUCGGCAGCCACCGCCACCACCGCCGCCGCCACCACCGUAGCAGCAGCAGCAGCAGCAGCAGCAGCAGCAGCAGCAGCAAGAGUAACUCUGACUUAGGAAUAGAGACAGCCAGAGAGAAAUGUGAUCAAUGAAGGAGACAUCUGGAGUGUGCGUGCUUCUUCAGAGGGACGGGUGAUGGGCAGAUUGGAAAAAGCACCGCAGAUGGGAACCUUAAUCUUUCUUUUCUAAAAUUGAUGCUAUGAAAAUUUGCGUUUUCUGUAACUUGUAAAAACUAAAAGUUGCUUGUCUACUGAAAA
rnacentral:lncRNA from 1 species